rnacentral:rRNA from 1 species
AUUGAACGCUGGCGGCAUGCCUUACACAUGCAAGUCGAACGGUAACAGGUCUUCGGAUGCUGACGAGUGGCGAACGGGUGAGUAAUACAUCGGAACGUGCCUAGUAGUGGGGGAUAACUACUCGAAAGAGUGUCUAAUACCGCAUGAGAUCUACGGAUGAAAGCAGGGGAUCGCAAGACCUUGUGCUACUAGAGCGGCCGAUGGCAGAUUAGGUAGUUGGUGGGAUAAAAGCUUACCAAGCCGACGAUCUGUAGCUUGUCUGCGAGGACGAACAGCCACCCUGGGACUGAGACACGGCCCAGACUCCUACGCGAGGCAGCAGUGGGGAAUUUUGGACAAUGGGCGAAAGCCUGAUCCAGCAAUGCCGCGUGCAGGAUGAAGGCCUUCGGGUUGUAAACUGCUUUUGUACGGAACGAAAAGCCCCGGGUUAAUACCCUGGGGUCAUGACGGUACCGUAAGAAUAAGCACCGGCUAACUACGUGCCAGCCGCCGCGGUAA